GCUCGCUUCAGCAGAACAUAUACUAAAACUGGAACAAUACAGAGAAGAUUAGCAUGGUACCUGCACAAGGAUGACACGCAAAUUCGUGAAGCAUUCCAUAUCAAA